rnacentral:rRNA from 1 species
UACGAAGGGGAGCUAGCGUUGUUUCGGAAUUAGCUAGGGCGUAAGCGCGUGUAGGCGGUUAGGCAAGUCGGAUGUGAAAUACCCCGGUGGCUCCAACGUACGGAAGUAGCACCCGAAACUGCUUAACUUGAGUCCCGGAGAGGAAGGCGGAAUGCUUGGUGUAGAGGUGAAAUUCGUAGAUAUCAAGCGGAACACCGGUGGCGGAAGGCGGCCUUCUGGACGAGGACUGACGCUGAGACGGCGAAAGCGUGGGGGAGCAAACAGG